rnacentral:rRNA from 1 species
UACAGAGGGUGCGAGCGUUAAUCGGAAUUACUGGGCGUAAAGCGUGCGUAGACGGUUUUGUAAGUCGGAUGUGAAAUCCCCGGGCUCAACCUGGGAAUUGCAUUCGAGACUGCAAGGCUUGGGUGCGGAAGAGGGAAGCGGAAUUUCCGGUGUAGCGGUGAAAUGUGUAGAUAUCGGAAGGAACAUCAGUGGCGAAAGCGGCUUCCUGGUCCAGCACCGACGUUCAGGCACGAAAGCGUGGGGAGCAAACAGG